GUCUUUGACUCCCGAGUUGUAAUCUAGAGAAGUGUUUUCCGYGUUGGACCGUGUACAAGUUCCCUGGAACGGGGCGUCAUAGAGGGUGAGAAUCCCGUAUAUGCCACGGACUACCAAUGCUCUGUGAUACACUCUCAACGAGUCGAGUUGUUUGGGAAUGCAGCUCAAAAUGGGUGGUAAAUUCCAUCUAAAGCUAAAUAUUGGCGAGAGACCGAUAGCGAACAAGUACCGUGAGGGAAAGAUGAAAAGCACUUUGGAAAGAGAGUGAAACAGUACGUGAAAUUGUUGAAAGGGAAGCGUUUGAAGUCAGUCACGUCUGUCGGAAUUCAGCCUGGCUUCUGCCUGGUGUACUUUCCGUCCGACGGGUCAGCAUCAAUUUCGACCGAGGGAAAAAGRCGUGAGGAAUGUGGCUGUCUYCGGGCAGUGUUAUAGCCUCGCGUUGUAUGUCUCGGUUGGGAUUGAGGAACGCAGCGCGCCUAUUGGCCGGGGGUUCGCGCCCCUCGGUACGCGCUUAGGAUGCUGGCAUAAUGGCUUUAAGCGACCCGUCUUGAAACACGGACC
rnacentral:rRNA from 1 species